rnacentral:rRNA from 1 species
GACGAACGCUGGCGGCGUGCUUAACACAUACAAGUCGAACGCUGAAGCUCAGCUUUUGUUGGGUGGAUGAGUGGCGAACGGGUGAGUAACACGUGAGUAACCUGCCCCCUUCUUUGGGAUAACGCCCGGAAACGGGUGCUAAUACUGGAUAUUCACUGGUCUUCGCAUGGGGGUUGGUGGAAAGGGUUUUUCUGGUGGGGGAUGGGCUCGCGGCCUAUCAGCUUGUUGGUGGGGUGAUGGCCUACCAAGGCUUUGACGGGUAGCCGGCCUGAGAGGGUGACCGGUCACAUUGGGACUGAGAUACGGCCCAGACUCCUACGGGAGGCGGCAGUGGGGAAUAUUGCACAAUGGGCGCAAGCCUGAUGCAGCGACGCCGCGUGAGGGAUGGAGGCCUUCGGGUUGUGAACCUCUUUCGCUCAUGGUCAAGCCGCAACAAUGGUUGUGGUGAGGGUAGUGGGUAAAGAAGCGCCGGCUAACUACGUG